ACAAAGCUGACAGUAAUGUCAGAGCAAGAAGAGUCUCCUCAGUUUUACAAGUUAAACGAUAAAAAAAACAUUUGUCUGGCCACUGGCUUCACAAAAAAAGAUGCCACUGAUACAAUUUUGCAUGGUCCAGAACCUGUCCUAUUUUCCGGAAAGUCAUACUACAGCAGGAUUUUAAAGGAUUAUGGAGACUGUGAGAAUUCAACAACACCUUGUGAUGAAAAUGACUUAGAUUCAGGAUUUGAUGUCAAUGCGAAGACCAAGUUCUUGACAUUGAGCUUAUUUUGGCUAAGGGUUCUCUUCUGCAAGACCAUUGCAUUCAACAUUUUGAUGACUCUCAAAGUGUGGAUGAGCUAAAGAGCUAAAAUCCAACAAGCGAGGAUUCCAGAUCUGGAUUGGAUCGUGUCUACUGGCCUUGACCCUAAAGAAGAGGCUUGCUUUUUGCCACACCAAGAGCAUGAAAGCCAUUAGUUGACACACAACAUACACCUUCUCAGCUGUAUUAUAUUGCAUAUAUUUCUGGAUAUGCUUUGAUUUGAAUUCAUUCUCUCCACUGUGAUUAUAUAGACUUUAAUUUUUCUUUCAAAUUCAUAUUCCAUAUUAUUAUCAUUUUAGCUUCAAUGGCUGGUAUUACAAAAAAAAACCCUGUUUCUAUCUUCUUUUUUUACAUAUAACGUGAGAGUACACAUUUUACAUUCUUCUCAACUUUUUUGCAUACUUUUUUCUCAGUUGCUGAUUUUGUAAUUCUGUUCAUUUUAACCAAUUGUUAAUAGUGACCGUCCUAUUUGAAUGUAUGUUUCCUGUUAUUUGAGGACAUAGUAUGUAAUCUUUGAACAUAUUCCUUAUGUAUGUGUUGUCUUGAGUUAAAAUAUGCUAUGUUGCAUAACAUAAUAAAAAUAACAAAAAUGAAUUUA